CGGCGAGUGAAGCGGCAACAGCUCAAAUUUGAAAUCUGGCCUCGGCCCGAGUUGUAAUUUGCAGAGGAUGCUUCUGGCGCGGUGCCUUCCGAGUUCCCUGGAACGGGACGCCACAGAGGGUGAGAGCCCCGUAUGGUCGGACACCAAGCCUGUGUGAAGCUCCUUCGACGAGUCGAGUAGUUUGGGAAUGCUGCUCUAAAUGGGAGGUAAAUCUCUUCUAAAGCUAAAUACCGGCCAGAGACCGAUAGCGCACAAGUAGAGUGAUCGAAAGAUGAAAAGCACCUUGAAAAGGGGGUUAAAUAGUACGUGAAAUUGUUGAAAGGGAAGCACUUAUGACCAGACUUGGGCCGGGCGGCUCAUCAGGGGUUCUCCCCUGUGCACUCCGCCCGGCACAGGCCAGCAUCGGUUCUCGUGGGGGGAUAAGACCGUCAGGAACGUAGCACUCUCCGGAGUGUGUUAUAGCCUGGCGGACGAUACCCCCGUGGGGACCGAGGUCCGCGCAAGGAUGCUGGCGUAAUGGUCAUCAGUGACCCGUCUUGAAACACGGACCAAGGAGUCGUCCAUUAGAGCGAGCGUUUGGGUGUAAAACCCGCACGCGUAAUGAAAGUGAACGCAGGUGAGAGCUUCGGCGCAUCAUCGACCGAUCCUGAUGUUCUCGGAAGGAUUUGAGUAAGAGUUUUAACGGACGGACCCGAAAGACAGUGAACUAUGCUUGAAUAGGGUGAAGCCAGAGGAAACUCUGGUGGAGGCUCGCAGCGGUUCUGACGUGCAAAUCGAUCGUCAAAUUUGAGCAUGGGGGCGAAAG
rnacentral:rRNA from 1 species